CGAAGCGUUAGUGAAGGGUUAAUAGAGUGUUAGUGAAGCGUUAGUGAAGGGUUAAUAGAGUGUAAGUGAAGCGU